GGAUGUAGCCAAGUGGUUAAGGCACAGGACUUUGACUCCUGCAUCGCUGGUUCGAGCCCAGCUAUCCC
rnacentral:tRNA from 1 species